GAUGAACGCUGGCGGCGUGCUUAACACAUGCAAGUCGAACGGUGAAGGCGGAGCUUGCUCUGCUGGAUCAGUGGCGAACGGGUGAGUAACACGUGAGCAAUCUGCCCCUGACUCUGGGAUAAGCGCUGGAAACGGUGUCUAAUACUGGAUACGAGCUGCGAAGGCAUCUUCAGCAGCUGGAAAGAACUUCGGUCAGGGAUGAGCUCGCGGCCUAUCAGCUUGUUGGUGAGGUAACGGCUCACCAAGGCGUCGACGGGUAGCCGGCCUGAGAGGGUGACCGGCCACACUGGGACUGAGACACGGCCCAGACUCCUACGGGAGGCAGCAGUGGGGAAUAUUGCACAAUGGGCGAAAGCCUGAUGCAGCAACGCCGCGUGAGGGACGACGGCCUUCGGGUUGUAAACCUCUUUUAGCAGGGAAGAAGCGAAAGUGACGGUACCUGCAGAAAAAGCGCCGGCUAACUACGUG
rnacentral:rRNA from 1 species